rnacentral:rRNA from 1 species
AUGGUCGUCGAGUUCCGCUACAUGUUUGCAGACGAACACGCCACGCUCCUCUGCUUCUCUUCCGACACCGGCGAGUGGGUGGAUCUCGCCGGGGGGCUCAUCUUCUGCGACGCUUUCGCGGAUGCCCCGGUGCUGGACGUCAUCCCGCUCCCAGAAAGCGACUGCCAUCUGCCUCGUGCCUCGUGCGCCCACUGCGCCGGGAGAUCGGUGGCCCACCGCCGGUUCGUGCAGGUGAGCGCUGGCAAGUUCCGGUGCGCGGAGUGGAGCUCUCGCAGCGACGACGAGGCUCCCAUGACGGUCAGCAUGUGGACGCUGAGUGAUCCGGAGGCCAAUGAGUGGGUGCUGGACUACAAGGUGAGCUUUCAGGAGAUCUGGGCCGACGACAGCUACAGGGCUGCCGGCCUGACGGAGAAGAACCCCACGUUCGCGCUCGUCCACCCCAUGAAUCCGGACGUGCUCUACUUCUUCCUGGAGGAGCACCUCUUCGGCGUGGACCUGCGCGCCAAGAGGGUUGUGGAGUGCGGCGUGUACGAGAUGGUGGUGCCACCGUCAGGGAAGCCCCCCAACUGUUUCUCCGUCCGCGCAUUGGAGCUGCCGAUCGCGCUUUCAGCAGGUUCGCUUCCAUCUGAUGUUGGCCGCGGUUCCAACGGCGAAGAGUCUACUCCACCGGCGUCAUCUGUUUCCCGGGAGGAAGCGGUGAAUCUGCAGAUCGAGUUUGAGGAGGGUGAGGAGGGAUCUUGA